rnacentral:rRNA from 1 species
AGUGAACGCUGGCGGUAGGCCUAACACAUGCAAGUCGAACGGCAGCACAGUAAGAGCUUGCUCUUACGGGUGGCGAGUGGCGGACGGGUGAGGAAUACAUCGGAAUCUACUUUUUCGUGGGGGAUAACGUAGGUAAACUUACUCUAAUACCGCAUACGACCUACGGGUGAAAGCAUGGGAUCUUCUGACCUUGCGCGAUUGAAUGAGCCGAUGUCGGAUUAGCUAGUUGGCGGGGUAAAGGCCCACCAAGGCGACGAUCCGUAGCUGGUCUGAGAGGAUGAUCAGCCACACUGGAACUGAGACACGGUCCAGACUCCUACGGGAGGCAGCAGUGGGGAAUAUUGGACAAUGGGCGCAAGCCUGAUCCAGCCAUACCGCGUGGGUGAAGAAGGACUUCGGGUUGUAAAGCCCUUUUGUUGGGAAAGAAAAGCAGCAGGUUAAUACCCCGCUGUUCUGACGGUACCCAAAGAAUAAGCACCGGCUAACUUCGUG